AUUGAACGCUGGCGGCAUGCCUUACACAUGCAAGUCGAACGGUAACAGGUCUUCGGAUGCUGACGAGUGGCGAACGGGUGAGUAAUACAUCGGAACGUGCCCGAUCGUGGGGGAUAACGAAGCGAAAGCUUUGCUAAUACCGCAUAAGAUCUAAGGAUGAAAGCAGGGGACCGCAAGGCCUUGCGCGAACGGAGCGGCCGAUGGCAGAUUAGGUAGUUGGUGGGAUAAAAGCUUACCAAGCCGACGAUCUGUAGCUGGUCUGAGAGGACGACCAGCCACACUGGGACUGAGACACGGCCCAGACUCCUACGGGAGGCAGCAGUGGGGAAUUUUGGACAAUGGGCGAAAGCCUGAUCCGGCCAUGCCGCGUGCAGGAUGAAGGCCUUCGGGUUGUAAACUGCUUUUGUACGGAACGAAAAGACUCUGGUUAAUACCUGGGGUCCAUGACGGUACCGGCAUAAGAAGCACCGGCUAACUACGUGCCGGCCGCCGCCGUAA
rnacentral:rRNA from 1 species